rnacentral:rRNA from 1 species
UACGUAGGGCGCAAGCGUUAUCCGGAAUUAUUGGGCGUAAAGAGCGCGUAGGCGGUCCGAUAAGUCGGCUGUGAAAGUCAGGGGCUCAACCCUUGAAAGCCGGCCGAUACUGUCGGACUAGAGUCCGGAAGAGGCAAGUGGAAUUCCCGGUGUAGCGGUGAAAUGCGCAGAUAUCAGGAGGAACACCGAUGGCGAAGGCAGGUCUCUGGGCAGUUACUGACGCUGAGGAGCGAAAGCAUGGGGAGCGAACAGG